GACUGGAGUAGUUGAGAGGCACAAACAAGAGAGGACUUGCCUCAACAAGGUAGAAGGUUUGCAGAGAAUCAUACUUCCAUCGGAAAGUGCAGAUCUGUUCUGUUCUUCCCUGAGAAGAGGCACCCUAAUUUCUCAAAAUCUGACAUGUUUAUGUUUAAAGGAAUCAUCACGCUAUUCCAACAAGAGCGACACAUAGAGAAGAAGACGGGAAAUAAAAAGGUCCAAACUAGAAGCUAA